ensembl:snoRNA small nucleolar RNA SNORD113/SNORD114 family
AGGAUAACUCAUGACCAUUGAUGGCAUAUGAGUUGUAUAUCAUGACUAUAGGUAUGAGAGUUUGAGAUCCAC